UACGUAGGGGGCAAGCGUUGUCCGGAAUUACUGGGCGUAAAGCGCACGUAGGCGGACAUUUAAGUCAGGGGUGAAAUCCCGGGGCUCAACCCCGGAACUGCCUUUGAUACUGGGUGUCUAGAGUGUGGAAGAGGUGAGUGGAAUUCCGAGUGUAGAGGUGAAAUUCGUAGAUAUUCGGAGGAACACCAGUGGCGAAGGCGGCUCACUGGUCCACUACUGACGCUGAGGUGCGAAAGCGUGGGGAGCAAACAGG
rnacentral:rRNA from 1 species